GCCAGCUUCUCAUCACACUACCAACUGCAACUAUAAUUUUCACAGUGCCGAAAGCAGAACAAGUGGAUGAAGUGAGCAUAAUCAGAUGGAGCUAUCGUAUCUGAAGUUGCAGCAUCUCAGUUAAGACCUCGAGAAUUAUGAAAGAAUUCCAGCAAUAAGCUUUGUG